UGUUUGAUAGUGAGGAUUCUUGUGACCAGCUGUUUCAGUUAUCAAACAAGCUAAACCAAUCAUGUUUGCAUUCACAAAUGCUAUUCUGCUUAUCACUGAGAGAUUUUGCCUGUGAUACUCAAAUUGCAAAUGAUACAAUGGAAGUGAUGCAAAUGUUAUUGGUUGAAAUUCCCUGGUUUCAUUUGUUGGGUAAUGGGUAUGCUUGUGAUAAGCUAUGCCAGCUGUCAAACCGGCAAACUGUAAGCAACUAAUGACCUGCAACCCAAAACACUAUCCUGUUGAUCGCUGAGAGGUGUAACUCUUCAAACUUGAAUUGGAAAGGAUAGUGCCCGUUUAGAAAAGUCAACGGUGAUGCAAAUUCCAUGGGUUGGAAUACAAUCGUUUGAUGCUGCUACUCCAUAUUCACUCAUGUUCCAUAAGUUGUGGUCCAAAAAAUGGUUAACCCACCAUUCAACAGUCUUUUUGGCAUUUAGAUUUGCCUGGAACUGUCAGCUUCUAAAAAAAGAACACAAAAAUUCUGGCCUCCAAGUUUUACCCCAAUCAAGCCAUCUAAUUAGAAAGUAACAGAAGACAAGCGAUGGUCUGGAACAAUUUACCACGGAACGUCUUGCAGUGGUUUUUUGUGGCAUUUUGCUUCCUCGUUGCUGGAUUCAUCACCUCGUCUUCGCCACGCCCUUCUUCAACUUGCCCGUCAACCCGUCCUCAACUUGCCCGUCAACCCGUUCUCAACUGGCCAGCCCCACCGUUUUUAACUCGUCCAUGACCCACAUCUUCUACUCGCGCAUCGACCCGUCGUCGCCCCGCUGGUCGCCCGAUCUUCUCCUCGUGGUCGCCCCGACAUCCAUUUUUCUUGGUGGUAUCGUUGUGUUUUGUACUGUACUGUAUUAUGUUAACUAACCCAUUGGCUGCCACCCACCCUCUUUGAUCCCCUUUUUUUUUUUAGCGUGACAGGGACGGGCCGCGCUGUUCUGCCCCAUGGUCUAGCUGCCAUGGGGUGGAGCAGCGCCACUGCCCAAGAUUGGCCACACGGCCUGUAGGCAAUGCACCGUAGGGAAUUCCCUUGUCCGAUGUGGCUGAUGAGACCUGGGGUGUGCAUUCCCGGAAAGGUCUCAUCGCCGUGUCAGCCCGGACUUGUCCUAGGGCAAGUCCCAUUGGCCGCUAUCCCUAUGAUAGCGGUGGUAGCGAGUGUAGUUAAGGGUGGCGUGGCAGCCAAUGGGUUAGU